UACGUAGGGUGCGAGCGUUGUCCGGAAUUAUUGGGCGUAAAGAGCUCGUAGGCGGUCUGUCGCGUCGGCUGUGAAAACCCGGAGCUCAACUCCGGGCCUGCAGUCGAUACGGGCAAACUGGAGUGUUGCAGGGGAGACUGGAAUUCCUGGUGUAGCGGUGAAAUGCGCAGAUAUCAGGAGGAACACCGGUGGCGAAGGCGGGUCUCUGGGCCGUAACUGACGCUGAGGAGCGAAAGUGUGGGGAGCGAACAGG
rnacentral:rRNA from 1 species